CCUACGGGAGGCAGCAGUGGGGAAUAUUGGACAAUGGGGGGAACCCUGAUCCAGCGACGCCGCGUGAGUGAAGAAGUAUUUCGGUAUGUAAAGCUCUAUCAGCAGGGAAGAAAGAAAUGACGGUACCUGACUAAGAAGCCCCGGCUAACUACGAGCCAGCAGCCGCGGUAAUACGUAGGGGGCAAGCGUUAUCCGGAUUUACUGGGUGUACAGGGAGCGUAGACGGAUACGCAAGUCUGGAGUGAAAGGCGGGGGCCUAAACCCCGGAGUGGUUUGGAAACUGGAUAACUGGAGUGCAGGAGAGGUAAGUGGAAUUCCGAGUGUAGCGGUGAAAUGCGUAGAUAUUAGGAGGAACACCAGUGGCGAAGGCGGCUUACUGGACUGUAACUGACGUUGAGGCUCGAAAGCGUGGGGAGCAAACAGGAUUAGAUACCCGGGUAGUC
rnacentral:rRNA from 1 species